ensembl:lncRNA
UGUGAAGAACAUAUUUCAAGAUUGCCCUUUAAGAAGGGCCUCAGCCAGGCAUAGCCCUUGAGGGCUGGGGAUUCCCGCCUGGGAAUUUUUCCAACAUUCUGCCAGCUGUUUCUUCUCUUUCAGUAGUUUUAUUAUUUUUCUUUCUGUUCUGACUCCUCCUUUCGCUUUCAGUGUGGCAGCUCAGGCCAAAUGGCAGGGGAAGGGGGACCUGGCAUUUGCUGAGAUGUACCAUAUGUGUCUGUUGAGUUGAACUGCAGAGACGGCACCAAGUGGACACGCACCUACCCGGAGCAGAAGAGUCUUGCUGGGAAUGGAGCUUUUGCCCAUCAUCCCUCCCUGGAGCCAGAAAUGCUGCUGAGAUGGGACCUGGCUACACCCUCAUCCCCCUAUCUCUUCCCCUGAGACAUCUGAAUACACUGAGGGGGGCAGGAAUUUGGCAGGGACUCACUGGAAUUCAUCUCUCACCAGCCUGUGAACCCUACCUGUGGCUCCAGCAUGGGGCUGUGCUGGCCUGACCGCUCU